CGACCUCAGAUCAGGUAAGAUUACCCGCCGAAUUUAAGCAUAUUAAUAGGCGGAGGAAAAGAAACUAACCAGGAUUCCCUUAGUAGCUGCGAGCGAACUGGGAAGAGCCCAGCACCGAAUCCUGCGGCGCGUUUCGGCGCGUCCGUACGAAGGAAAUGUGGUGUUCGGGAGAGUUCAUUAUCCCGCUAACUGAUGCUGGUUCAAGUCCCCCUUGAACGGGGCCACGACCCAUAGAGGGUGCCAGGCCCGUAGAGAUCAGCGUCGGUUAACGGGAGAGCUUCUCCUAAGAGUCGGGUUGCUUGAGAGUGCAGCCCUAAGCGGGUGGUAAACUCCAUCUAAGGCUACAAUACGGCCACGAGACCGAUAGUGGACAAGUACCGUGAGGGAAAGUUGAAAAGAACUUUGAAGAGAGAGUUCAAUAGUACGUGAAACCGUUCGGGGGUAAACGGACAGAGCCCGUGAAUCCGGGCCGGCGAAUUCAGGACCGGUGCGUGUGCCUCUUGUAGGUGCUGCGCGUCGGUUUGAUUUUUCGUCGGCCGUAUAAAAUCGGACGUUGCGACCCGUUUGGUGCUGGUUUCUGUAAGGGCCGACGUUCAGUUCGACCAGUUUGAUUCGUUUCGGCGGAUCAGUUUGGCGAUGCGUCAGUUCCGAGCUAGCUAGCCCGACGGUAUAAGAAUGGUGUCCGGCGAUGGGGACUUGUCCUGAUCGUCGGUACCGGUCGGUAACGAUUAUUCGGGCCUCUUUCCGACCCGUCUUGAAACACGGACCAAGGAGUCUAACGUGUGCGCGAGUCAUAGGGUGUCGCCGACUGGUGCGCAAGCAUCAGUCGGCGUUAUACAAACGAAACCCGACUAGGCGAAAUGAAAGUAAUUUUUGUGCUUCGGCACAUAUGGGAAGAUAGCGUUCCGAGUACACGUUCUAGACUCGAUCUAGACCGGACGUUCGCAUUCCCGGGGCGUCCCUUCAGUCCGGCGGUGUACUACUUCGGUGGUGCGCCGUUGAACUGGGGCGCACUCGUAGCGUACACGUUGGUACCCGAAAGAUGGUGAACUAUGCCCGGCCAGGAUGAAGUCAGGGGAAACCCUGAUGGAGGUCCGCAGCGAUUCUGACGUGCAAAUCGAUCGUCUGAGCUGGGUAUAGGGGCGAAAGACUAAUCGAACCAUCUAGUAGCUGGUUCCCUCCGAAGUUUCCCUCAGGAUAGCUGGCGUCAUAUUCGAAUCGAAACGCGUUCUUCGGAGCGCGCUUUCGUAAGGUCGUCUCAUCCGGUAAAGCGAAUGAUUAGAGGCAUUGGGGCCGAAACGACCUCAACCUAUUCUCAAACUAUAAACGGGCGAGAUCGCAGGCUUUCCUGAUCAGCGUUUCGGCGCAAGUAAAGGGGCUACCGGUCGGGCAGUGGCGCGGUUUACUCCGUGCCGCAGUUUGGCCGGUAGCGCGAAGCCUGCGAUGGAACCUUUGACGCUCAGUGGGCCAUUUUUGGUAAGCAGAACUGGCGCUGCGGGAUGAACCGAACGCCGAGUUAAGGCGCCGGAAUCGACGCGAAUUUCAGAGCCCAUGAAAGGCGUUGGUCGCUGAUGACAGCAGGACGGUGGCCAUGGAAGUCGGAAUCCGCUAAGGAGUGUGUAACUACUCACCUGCCGAAGCAACUAGCUCUGAAAAUGGAUGGCGCUGGAGCGUCGUGCCUAUACUCGGCCGUCAGUGGCAGCGUGGGCUCGGUAGGCGUUCGCGUCUACGUACGAGACCCGGUAAGCCCUGACGAGUAGGAGGGCGCGGCGGUGCGCGCAGAAGGGAAGGGCGUGAGCCCGCCUGGAGCCGCCGUCGGUGCAGAUCUUGGUGGUAGUAGCAAAUACUCGAGAGGGGUCCUCGGGGGCUGCCGUGGAGAAGGGUUUCUUGUGAACAGCCGUUGUCCAAGAGUCAGUCGAUCCUAAGCCCGAGGAGAAAUCCUCUUUGUAAUGACGAAAGACGUACGAUCGAUUCCGAAUUAUGGUACCGGUGUGUGUACACACACUACCGUGUGCUAUAACGGAUACUUCUCCCCCAUAAAAAAUUUGUAUAUUAUUUUCUUCCUUUAAUGGAAAAAGUAAAGCAAAAACGGUGAAGGCAGGCCGCGCAGCCAAGCCGGUCGUACUUAUAUAUAUAUAUAUUAUACAGGUGGUCUCGUUAUGCAGAACACACUGCUGGACGGUGUAUAACGGUGAUAAUACUUUAACGUCGUACAUAUUUACUUUAACGUCGUACAAAAUACUUCAACGUCGUACAUACUUUAACGUCUUGUAUAAACGCUGCUGACGUGCUACCAUAUUAUAAACUGUGUAUAUAUUUAUUAUAUGUACGGCACCAAUAAGAAUUGAAAUUAUUGACGGUGACGGUUGUGCGACCGCCGGAACUAUGUGGAGAAGUCCGGCGGAUUCGAUAAUUCGGUCGUGUGUCGGGCGAAAGGGAAUCCGGUCCGUAUUCCGGAACCCGGCGCGGAACCGCUCCCUAGUGUUCGGGGCCCUUAAAC